UUCUUGUGUAAGUAGUAUAUGCAUCUUGCAGUUCAAUUUUAUGGGAAGACAACAAGCUGCCCGAGAGACUGUGUGUCCAUAAAGACUGAUCAAGACACAAUUAGAGAGGGCCACAGGUUCAUAAUUUCUGAAGAUGAUGACAUGGAAUCAACGUGGGAGAAGAGGCUGGUGAAAAGAUAUUAUGAUAAACUUUUCAAAGAAUAUUGCAUUGCUGAUAUGUCUCACUUCAAGGAAGGCAAGAUUGGCUUAAGAUGGAGGAUGGAAAAUGAGGUCAUAUCUGGGAAAGGUGAAUCCGGCCAAUUUGUAUGCGGUAACAAGAAAUGCAGUGAGAAAGAGAAUCUAGGAAGUUAUGAGGUAAAUUUUUCCUAUUUUGAAGCUGGAGAAAAUAAGCAAGCUCUAGUGAAAUUGGUGGCAUGUAAAAGAUGUGCAGAGAAACUUGUCUAUAGAAGGCAGAAAGAGAGGGAGCACAAGAAGAGCAGUGAUGUAGGCGCAAGCAAUAGGAAGAGGGGAAAAGACAAAAAUAUCGAUGACAAUGAUAUUGAUGAUGGAUACGAGGAUUCAAAUUUAAGGAAAAAAGAAGGUCGGGCAGGGAGCUGUUGAGCAAAGAGCUUCUGAAUUGCCGAACGGGAGGUCAAGCAUAGUUGCCAAACUAACAACUAACGAGCCGGGAGGUUGGGCAGGAAACUGCUGAACAGGAGGUUGAGUAGAGCUGUCGAUUGCCGGGCUAGGAGGCAAUGCUACCGAGUUGCUAGAUAGGGAGCAAGACUGUCAGAACAUGGCUCAACCACAUUAGCAACCAAGCACAAGCUACUUGUGGCGAACGGAUCUGUACUCUAAUGCUAUCACUGGAAAACAAGAGUUGCCAAGAAGGGCUGCCUAACAAGGAGGUGGAGGAUGUGGGGGAAGGAGUUGGAUCGACUCUUCAGUGUGUGCUUUAUGAACUCUACCUUUUGCCCAAGGACGACGGACUUCAACUUCAGGGACUAAAGCGCGAAUAGUUGAUGAAGAUUUCGAGGAGUUUUUAGAAGGAAUGUUCCCAUGACUUGAAUACUUUCUUCAAGAAAAAAACCCAUAGUAGCCUGGGAACUAGUUUCCGGUUCUUAAUUGUGAUAUAUAUUGCCUAACUUCAUUUGCGGACUGAUCCUCUUGGCCUUGUUCAAAUGCAUUACUGAAUUUUCUAUGUUCUUGACAUUUCUGGUGAAGAAUUAAUGGUUGACAAUUACAUUCCCAACAUUUUGAAAAUGUUAUUUUGCUAGUUCAAAGAUGGCAAGAACAUACUCGAGUGAUUUUAUUUCA